rfam:Saitoella complicata NRRL Y-17804 DNA, contig: contig008, whole genome shotgun sequence.
GGCUGACUGGCGUAAUUUGGUAGCGCGUCUCCCUCCUAAGGAGAAGGCUCUGGGUUCGAGUCCCAGGUUGGUCG